rnacentral:rRNA from 1 species
CCCUUAGAUGUUCUGGGCCGCACGCGCGCUACACUGAUGCAUUCAACGAGUCUAAAACCUGCUCUGAUAGGGGUGGGUAAUCUUUUGAAUGUGCAUCGUGAUUGGGAUAGAUGAUUGCAAUUUUUCAUCUUCAACGAGGAAUGCCUAGUAAACGCAAGUCAUCAGCUUGCAUUGGUUACGUCCCUGCCCUUUGUACACACCGCCCGUCGCUCCUACCGAUUGAAUGAUCCGAUGAAUAUCAUGGAUUGAGGAUGCAAGUAGGUUCGCCUAUCUUCAUCUUCGAGAAGUGAAGUAAAUCUUAUCAUUUAGAGGAAGGAGAAGUCGUAACA